AUGCGUCUCUGGUAUCUCCGUCCUCCAGCCGCGCCCGAGGGAGCUCCCCGAAGCCGGCGCUGUGUUCCUCCAGCACCACCACCAGGCUGCCCUGUCCUUCCCCUUGCGCAGGAGCUCGCAGCCACUACCAUGGCGCGUCUUGCUACUCCCCCCAGCACCCCAAUCCUUCCCUUCUACUCCCUCAGUCAUGGCACUUCGCCGCUCUUUUGCUCACCCGCCUUGCCUCGCGCGACCUGCAUGGCCGCCGGCCAUGGAUGCCAUCGUGCUAGCCUGCAGCUUCGAGUGCGCUGCUGUGCCUUGCUGCUCCUGCUUUGUACGACAGCGGAUGACCUCCGUCGAGCUCGCCCGGCCACCUUCGACCUCGGCAUGGCCCUGCCUCCACUACCAGUCUCCUGUUGUCGGCCGUUUCCAUGGGUUCGGGGAGCCCCAAGUCAUGUCCGUGGCCUUCGUGUCUAUUGA
rnacentral:rRNA from 1 species